rnacentral:rRNA from 1 species
AACGAACGUUCGCGGCGCGCCUAACACAUGCAAGUCGAGCGAGAAAGGGCUUCGGCCCCGGUACAGCGGCGCACGGGUGAGUAACACGUAGGCAAUCUGCCCCUGAGUGGGGGAUAACCUUCCGAAAGGAGGGCUAAUACCGCAUGGGACCACGACCCCGCGAGGGGAUGAGGUCAAAGCCGGCCACUUCAUGAAAGCUGGCGCUUGGGGAUUAGACUGCGGACCAUCAGCCAGUUGGUAGGGUAAUGGCCUACCAAGGAAUAGACGGGUAGGUGGUCUGAGAGGAUGAUCAGCCACACUGGAACUGAGACACGGUCCAGACUCCUACGUGAGGCAGCAGUGGGGACUAUUGCUCAAUGUGCGAAAGCCUGACGCAGCGACGCCGCGUGAGUGAUGAAGGCCUUCGUGUUGUAAAGCUCUGUGGAGGUAGACGAAUAAGGCAUGGCUAACAUCCAUGUUGAUGACGGUAUCCCUUUAGCAAGCACCGGCUAACUCUGUGCCAGCCGCCGCAGUAAUAC